rnacentral:rRNA from 1 species
AGCAGUAGCCGCGGUAAUACGGAGGGUGCGAGCGUUAAUCGGAAUUACUGGGCGUAAAGCGUACGCAGGCGGUUUGUUAAGUCAGAUGUGAAAUCCCCGAGCUUAACUCGGGAACUGCAUUUGAAACUGGCAGGCUAGAGUCUCGUAGAGGGGGGUAGAAUUCCAGGUGUAGCGGUGAAAUGCGUAGAGAUCUGGAGGAAUACCGGUGGCGAAGGCGGCCCCCUGGACGAAGACUGACGCUCAGGUACGAAAGCGUGGGGAGCAAACAGGAUUAGAGACCCCAGUAGUCCCUGUCUCUUAUAC